UCAUGUCAUUUCGUGCGUGGACUCAUGAAUGUCAUAAAUGACUCAAAGAAUUGGACGGCCAAUUCUUUGUGACGUGAACUAGGUGCAGAGAGGAGGUGCCUGCUGUCAAAAUCACUUGAAUAUAAUGGAUGACUACAAGCACUCUUUAUGCGAGCUGGUCCAGCAAAGACCAUUUUUGUGUGACCCAACUGAGGCGGACUAUAAAAAUCGGGACCAGCGUGCUCAAGCAUGGGAAGACAUAGACAAGAAGCUUCCACCUUAUAAAAAAAGGUGUCACGGCCAAAGAAACAUGGGCUCAACUUUCAAGGGGGCUGUGCAACGCACUGAAUCGGAAGAGAACUAAGAAGUCUGGUAGCGGUAUCUCAGCUGAUGAUAAGCCGUGGAAAUUCGAAAAGGUUAUGAGUUUUGUCAUAUCUACGAAAAGCAAAAGACCGACGACAACCAAUCUGAGCCAAGAUUCGGACAAUGAACAAGAAGCAUCCGACAUCGAGGAACACUCCAUUAUAACGGAAGCUAUGCAUGCGGCUGGCAUUGACAACGUCAAUGAUCAUGACGACACCGAUGAUGCCGGUACCCAGCUAACUGAACAGCCACAGGAAACGCGCACUAGCGGCAAGGAACCUAAACACCCUAAAACGACAAGUUACAAAAAGAGAAAAACUACUUGAAGCGCAGCAGAUGAUGACGGCCACGUGGGAUUGAUGAGGGCAAUGCAACAACGAAUGGAUGAAAGCAAGGAAUCCCCUAGGCUGAAGUUCUUCAAGUCGCUCAUGCCGAAGGUCGAUUACCUUCAAGCUGAUCAAUUCUUGGACUUUCAAAUUGACGUCCUACAAGCAUUAAAGAAGCAAACCCAGACAGCAAAAUGUCAACUUGAUAAUAUGAAUCGACCCACUACACCAUCAUCUUAGUCGUCCAAUUACAGUAGCGCAUCAUCAUGUCCACCAGGGGCAUUUCAUCGAAUGUCGUCUUUUGGAAUAGAUAAUGUUGACAGCAAUUUCUCUGGCCAUGCUCGUGGCUCAUCUCCGUC